UACGUAGGCAGCGAGCGUUGUUCGGAGUUACUGGGCGUAAAGGGCGCGUAGGCGGCCACUGCAUGUCGGUUGUGAAAUCUCCGGGCUUAACCCGGAAAGGUCAACCGAUACUGCAGGGCUAGAGUGCAGAAGGGGCAACUGGAAUUCUCGGUGUAGCGGUGAAAUGCGUAGAUAUCGAGAGGAACACCGGUGGCGAAGGCGGGUCUCUGGGCAGUAACUGACGCUGAGGAGCGAAAGCGUGGGGAGCGAACAGG
rnacentral:rRNA from 1 species